rnacentral:rRNA from 1 species
AUUGAACGCUGGCGGCAGGCUUAACACAUGCAAGUCGAGCGAGCGGCGGACGGGUGAGUAAUGUCUGGGAAACUGCCUGACGGAGGGGGAUAACUACUGGAAACGGUAGCUAAUACCGCAUACCAUCAGAUGUGCCCAGAUGGGAUUAGCUAGUCGGUGGGGUAAUGGCGCACCUAGGCAACGAUCCCUAGCUGGUCUGAGAGGAUGACCAGACAGACUGGAACUGAGACACGGUCCAGACUCCUGCGUGAGGCAGCAGUGGGGAAUAUUGCGCAAUGGGCGCAAGCCUGCUGCAGCCAUGCCGAGUGUGUGAAGAAGGCCUUCGGGUUGUAAAGCACUUUCAGCGAGGAGGCGUUACUCGCAGAAGAAGCACCGGCUAACUCCGUGCCAGCAGCCGCGGUAAUUC